GAUGAACGCUGGCGGCGUGCCUAACACAUGCAAGUCGAGCGAUCUUCUUCGGAAGAGAGCGGCGGACGGGUGAGUAACGCGUGGGUAACCUGCCCUGUACACACGGAUAACAUACCGAAAGGUAUGCUAAUACGGGAUGAUGUAUGAAAGUCGCAUGGCUUUUAUAUCAAAGCUCCGGCGGUACAGGAUGGGCCCGCGUCUGAUUAGCUAGUUGGUAAGGUAACGGCUUACCAAGGCGACGAUCAGUAGCCGACCUGAGAGGGUGAUCGGCCACACUGGAACUGAGACACGGUCCAGACUCCUACGGGAGGCAGCAGUGGGGAAUAUUGCACAAUGGGCGAAAGCCUGAUGCAGCAACGCCGCGUGAGCGAUGAAGGCCUUCGGGUCGUAAAGCUCUGUCCUCAAGGAAGAUAAUGACGGUACUUGAGGAGGAAGCCCCGGCUAACUACGUGCCAGCAGCCGCGGUAAUACGUAGGGGGCUAGCGUUAUCCGGAAUUACUGGGCGUAAAGGGUGCGUAGGCGGUCUUUCAAGCCAGAAGUGAAAGGCUACGGCUCAACCGUAGUAAGCUUUUGGAACUGUAGGACUUGAGUGCAGGAGAGGAGAGUAGAAUUCCUAGUGUAGCGGUGAAAUGCGUAGAUAUUAGGAGGAAUACCAGUAGCGAAGGCGGCUCUCUGGACUGUAACUGACGCUGAGGCACGAAAGCGUGGGGAGCAAACAGG
rnacentral:rRNA from 1 species